rnacentral:SRP_RNA from 1 species
GCCAGGCGCGGUGGCACGUGCCUGUAGUCCCAGCUGUUUGGGAGGCUGAGAUGGGAGGAUCCCUUGAGCCCAGGAGUUCAGUGAGCUAUGCCGAUCGGGUGUCUGCCCUAAGUUUGGCAUCAAUAUGGUGACCUCCCGAGAGCAGGGGACCACUGGGUUGCCUAAGGAGGGGUGAACUGGCCCAGGUUGGAAACAGAGCAGGUGAAAACUCCCGUGCUGAUCAGUAAUGGGAUUGUGCCUGUGAAUAGCCACUACGCUUCAGCCUGGACAACAUAGCAAGACCCUGUCUCU